GUUACCCACACCUUAUUCGGUUGCCCCUUUCACUUUGUUUUUAUACUACUAUUUGUUUUAUAUAUAUAUAUGAGAAUGUGACACACCCUUUUGAGUGUCAAUCCUAGCUGAUAAUGCACCUUAUUGCGUGGAGCCUAAGUGUGACAUAUAUAAAAGUGUCACUGUUUUCAGGUCCAAACUUAAUGAGAUGGGUGAUUGGAUAUUUUGAUAGAACUUUCAUAGUUGCUUUCACAUUUUCCUCUUGAUUAGGCUUUUUAGCACACAAAAAAAAUAAAUAAAUAAAGUUACCCCAUCUAGUUGUAGAGGCGUGACAAAUAUAUAUGAUGUCUGACAGUUACUAGAAAAAAAUUAUAUUUAAAAAAAAAAAAUAAUAAAAAUAAAUAAAUAAUUAAAAAGAUUGUGGUUUCUUGAACUAACACGGGUCAUAUAUAAGAUUUAUUAGGAAACCCAUUAAUUUUGCUUUCCUUGUUUUUUUGUUUUGACUUUUGAAUUUGUAAUGGGCAUCAGCAUCAUCACUUGUUUCUUUCAAGCAGCCAUGGUUAUAUGAGGAUAUAAUUUUGCUUAGCUACUACAGUUGGUGCAUGAACAUGGAUAUCACUAACAUAUAUGUGACUUUCCAAUUCUUCAAUUUGCUUUGAUGACUGUUUGCCACAUAUUUAAUGCCUUUUUUAUUCCCCUGCAGCCUAUUCUAGUCUAUAUGUCCAAGGUGGAUGGGAGCUUCAAGUUUAGCCCAAUUAGUGUUAAUUUUUUAACAGAGAUUACAAAGGUUUUCUUUGCUAUUACUAUGCUCUUGCUUUAGGCAAGGAAUCAAAAAGUUGGGGAGAAGCCUCUUCUCUCAAUUUCCACAUUCGUGUAGGCAGCUCGAAACAAUGUGCUUCUUGCUGUUCCAGCACUUCUUUAUGCUAUUAAUAACUAUCUAAAGUUCACAAUGCAGGAAUGCAGAUAUCGGAGAUCGAAGAUAAUUUGUUCUUGGUGGAAUUUGGAGACAGCCGAGACAAGAAGAAAAUUAUGGAGAUGAGACCGUGGAGUUAUGAGAUGCAGUUGAUAUUACUGCAUGAUUUUGAAGGGGAGUUGGUUCCUAAGGACAUCACGAUGAAAUGGUCACCCUUUUGGGUACAAAUUUACAAUUUGCCACUCAAGAGUAUGACCAGAGAGGAUGGAUAGGUGAUAGGAUCAAAAAUUGGAGAAGUUAUGGAAGUUGAUGUGCCAAAGAAAGGGGUACAGUAGGGCAAAUAUCCUCGGGUGCAAGUUCAAGUGGAUCCAUUAGAGAAAUUGAUCAGGGGAAAAAGAGUAUCUAUAGAAGAAGAUGGAGGGUAAUGGGCAUUCUUCAAAUACGAGCGCCUCCCUAAUUUUUGCUAUGUUUGUGGCAUGCUUGACCAUGGAGAGAAAGAAUGUAUGGAAAAGGAGAAUGGGGGAGUGGGUGAUGACGGAAAGGGGAUUAUGCAAUAUGGUGCAUGGCUGUGAGGGGAACCAGGAAGACGAUAUGGGUAUGAUAGUGGUUUUAGGGAAGGAAAAGGGUGGGCAGAGAAAAGAACGGAAGAGACCACUAAAGGAGGAGCGCCUGCAGGGUCGCCAGAAGGGAGGGAAGAUGUAGAACAAAAGGCGGAGGUCGGUGGAGGUCCAAUGGCAGAGACGAAUUCCUAGGCAGCCAAAAGCAAGUCUCAUUGUAUUGAGAAAACAAAGGCUAAAGACAAAAACCAAGCAGUAAUCAUAAAAUGUCAUCUUAGCCGUAAGAACACAAUUUUCAGUUAUUAGGGGGGAAUCAAGCAAAUGAAAGGAAAUGUUAAUCAAAGAAGCAAUUUUCAAUCA